rnacentral:rRNA from 1 species
AGUGAACGCUGGCGGUAGGCCUAACACAUGCAAGUCGAACGGCAGCACAGUAAGAGCUUGCUCUUACGGGUGGCGAGUGGCGGACGGGUGAGGAAUACAUCGGAAUCUACUUUUUCGUGGGGGAUAACGUAGGGAAACUUACGCUAAUACCGCAUAAGACCUACGGGUGAAAGCAGGGGAUCUUCGGACCUUGCGCGAUUGAAUGAGCCGAUAUCGGAUUAGCUAGUUGGCGGGGUAAAGGCCCACCAAGGCGACGAUCCGUAGCUGGUCUGAGAGGAUGAUCAGCCACACUGGAACUGAGACACGGUCCAGACUCCUACGGGAGGCAGCAGUGGGGAAUAUUGGACAAUGGGCGCAAGCCUGAUCCAGCCAUACCGCGUGGGUGAAGAAGGCCUUCGGGUUGUAAAGCCCUUUUGUUGGGAAAGAAAAGCAGCAGGUUAAUACCCCGCUGUUCUGACGGUACCCAAAGAAUAAGCACCGGCUAACUUCGUG